AACUUUACCCAGGGAAAUUGCGAAGCAGUUACACUAGAAAAUGCACGUCCAAAAUAGAGACAUGUUGGAAAUUGGAGAAUCUCUCCCUGAUAAGCUGCGGAGUAGUCGGGCCAGGUUGCACAACAGCUUCAUUACAGGUUGGGGAUGUUGUUCAUCAUAAAGGAGGGAAAGUUUGGUUAGAUCAUAUGGAUUGUUUAUUACAAUUGAAGACGUUAUUG